rnacentral:rRNA from 1 species
CCUACGGGAGGCAGCAGUGGGGAAUCUUGCGCAAUGGGCGAAAGCCUGACGCAGCCAUGCCGCGUGUAUGAUGAAGGUCUUAGGAUUGUAAAAUACUUUCACCGGUGAAGAUAAUGACUGUAGCCGGAGAAGAAGCCCCGGCUAACUUCGUGCCAGCAGCCGCGGUAAUACGAAGGGGGCUAGCGUUGCUCGGAAUUACUGGGCGUAAAGGGAGCGUAGGCGGACAUUUAAGUCAGGGGUGAAAUCCCGGAGCUCAACUCCGGAACUGCCCUUGAUACUGGGUGUCUUGAGUGUGAGAGAGGUAUGUGGAACUCCGAGUGUAGAGGUGAAAUUCGUAGAUAUUCGGAAGAACACCAGUGGCGAAGGCGACAUACUGGCUCAUUACUGACGCUGAGGCUCGAAAGCGUGGGGAGCAAACAGGAUUAGAUACCCUUGUAGUC